rnacentral:lncRNA from 1 species
AACCGAUUUAACACUGAACUGAUUUAGUUUCGAAAAAGCAGCUCAGCCUAAUUCACUUCUGUGAUGAAGCUUAAGUCGGUUUGUGACGUUACAAGUUCUCCACGCGGUCCGCUACCUUCCUUAAUUCAACAUGGAUGGUAGAAACAAGGAAGAUCUUUCUCAAGACAAAAAACGAACAGAAAGUUGGACUGAGGAAGAAAUAUACGUUUUCCAUAGCAAAAGCAAAAUCAUUCUUUUAUUUCCUUCGCUUAUAUUUUCCGUCAUCACACAAAACAGAUUUUUCAAAUUUGACAAGUCUCAAUCCUAUAUCUGCUAAAUUUCAAGGUUGCCAAUCAGAAGAAAUAUAAGCGAUUUAGCAAUUAAAUAUAAUACUACAGAAACCUGC